AGUUCCGUAGUGUAGUGAAAGUUAUCACGUUCGCUUCACACGCGAAAGGCCCCCGGUUCGAUCCCGACGGAAACUA
rnacentral:tRNA from 1 species